rnacentral:tRNA from 2 species
UCAGGAUAGCUCAGCUGGUAGAGCAGAGGACUGAAAAUUCUCGUGUCGCCAGUUCAAAUCUGGUUCCUG